AGAAAGAAAAAUGCUAAGAGAACACGUCUCUUAAAACGGUUCAAGUCGACCGCAGUGACUACAACAAUGUCAUAGGGGCAUUGCCCUAUCUGAAGGUUUACCGGGCCAAUUAGUCCGGACCGUUAAACCGUUUUGACUCAGCUUGCAAGCUGUGUACAGAGCUAAUAGGUUUGUUGUAUUUAUGGUCAAGUGUUUUUACUCCUUUGCCUUGUUCAUGUAAUUCAUAGCCACCGCAGAUACAAAAUUUAUUAUGUAAUGUGCUUUGAGAGGCACCAUCUUUUAUGAAGCAUUACAUGUAUAUUUUCACCGGCUUCUGACUUUUGAAAAGCCACAUAUAGUGAAGAAUGUAGCGCCGCAAUGGAUUAUCUUU